rnacentral:rRNA from 1 species
UGCAGUCGACGAGGCAGCGGCCUUCGGGCCGUUGUCGAGUGGCGAACGGGUGAGUAACACGUGAGGAACCUGCCCCGGAGACCGGGAUAACCAGGGGAAACUCUGGCUAAUACCGGAUGCCCUCGGAUGGUCGCAUGGCCAACCGAGGAAACGCUCCGGUGCUCCGGGAGGGCCUCGCGGCCUAUCAGCUUGUUGGUGGGGUAACGGCCUACCAAGGCAUCGACGGGUAGCUGGUCUGAGAGGACGAUCAGCCACACUGGGACUGAGACACGGCCCAGACUCCUACGGGAGGCAGCAGUGGGGAAUAUUGCGCAAUGGGCGAAAGCCUGACGCAGCAACGCCGCGUGGGGGAUGACGGCCUUCGGGUUGUAAACCCCUUUCAGCAGGGACGAAAAUGACGGUACCUGCAGAAGAAGCCCCGGCCAACUACGUGCCAGCAGCCGCGGUAACACGUAGGGGGCAAGCGUUGUCCGGAUUUAUUGGGCGUAAAGAGCUCGUAGGCGGUUGCGUAAGUCGGAUGUGAAAACUCAGGGCUCAACCCGGAGACGCCAUCCGAUACUGCGCUGACUAGAGUCCGGUAGAGGAGCAUGGAAUUCCUGGUGUAGCGGUGAAAUGCGCAGAUAUCAGGAGGAACACCAGUGGCGAAGCGGUGCUCUGGGCCGGUACUGACGCUGAGGAGCGAAAGCGUGGUAGCGAACAGGAUUAGAUACCCUGGUAGUCCACGCCGUAAACGUUGGGCACUAGUGUGGGGCCUCCUUAACGGGUUCCGUGCCGUAGCUAACGCAUUAAGUGCGCUGGGGAGUACGGCCGCAAGGCUAAA